AACUUGAUACAUUGGACUUAAAAAAAAAGGGGUGGGGUGCCCGAUCUUGUCUGAUCUCGGAAGCUAAGCAGAUUCGGGCCUGGUUAGUAUUUGGAUGGGAGACUGCCUAGGAAGACCAGGUGCUGUAGACC
rnacentral:rRNA from 1 species